rnacentral:rRNA from 1 species
CCUACGGGAGCAGCAGUGGGGAAUAUUGGGCAAUGGAGGAAACUCUGACCCAGCGACGCCGCGUGCGGGAUGAAGGCCUUCGGGUUGUAAACCGCUUUCAGCAGGGAAGAAGCGAAAGUGACGGUACCUGCAGAAGAAGCACCGGCUAACUAUGUGCCAGCAGCCGCGGUAAUACAUAGGGUGCAAGCGUUGUCCGGAAUUAUUGGGCGUAAAGAGCUCGUAGGUGGUUCGUCACGUCGGAUGUGAAAAUCUGGGGCUUAACCCCAGACCUGCAUUCGAUACGGGCGAGCUUGAGUAUGGUAGGGGAGUCUGGAAUUCCUGGUGUAGCGGUGGAAUGCGCAGAUAUCAGGAGGAACACCAAUGGCGAAGGCAGGACUCUGGGCCAUUACUGACACUGAGGAGCGAAAGCGUGGGGAGCGAACAGGAUUAGAUACCCUGGUAGUCCACGCCGUAAACGGUGGGCACUAGUUGUGGGGACCUUCCACGGUCUCUGCGACGCAGCUACGCAUAGUCGCCCGCCGUCGGGAGGUACGAGUCGCGAAGAAUUAAAACGUUAAAAGGUAAAGUUAGACGGCGUGAGACGUGCCGAACGGACGACGACGAGGGAGGUAGG